rnacentral:lncRNA from 1 species
GGAGCCUCCUAGUCCUUCCACUUUGGUUUCAGACUUUGAGGAGACUUGAUGCCUUUGGAGGAGAGCAGCAUUUCACGGUUUCGAGAUGGCCUCCCUGAUGGGAAGGUGUGAUGGGAACUGGGAAGGGGCUCCCAGGCUACGUGUAAUGAGCUGAAGAGCCCCAGAGGUUACUGACAGACCAAAAUAUCCUGACAACCCCGGAAUGCCAGAAGGAGAGAAGGGGUUUGUAAAUCUGAGGACCUUGACUACUUUUGUAAGAAGGAAUUACUUGCUAAGUACUGUCUCAGAAAGAAACUCUCUUGGAGGUUACCUGGGGACAAGUGGAGGAAGCAAGCCAUAGCCUUUUUGGAAUUGUGAUAAUAUUCCAAGGCAAAUGUUCCCAGGGGCUGGGAUUUUACCUUCUGUCUGUCCUACAAUCAGGGUGUAAGAUGGAGGAAUGCACUUCCCAUCUCUGAGCCACGGUUUCUCAUCCAUAGAAUGGGGAGUUUGGAUUUCUAAGAUCCCCCAUCUCACGCUUUGAAUGCGAUCAGGCUGGGAAUUCAAAAGCAUCUGCUCACUGGGAAAGGGAGGCAGUCAGGGUGGGACAGGGCUUGUAUUGAAUAACGAGAAAGGAGCAUGGUGACUAUGACUUGAGUCAGUCCGGAAAUAAAAUAUAAGGGGGUCUGAUCUGAGGCAGAAGAGGACAGCAGAAAUUCUCCUAGGAGUGGCAGUCAAGCCAGGUCAGGCUCGGGUCAGGCUGCCUGGUUCAGAGAAUGGCAUCAAUGUGUGCAGAGAGGUUCUUAAGGCCAGACAGGUGUCAGGGCCCAAGCCAAGUGGACUGGAGGUCAGAAUAGGGCUUCAGUUCUAAAAAAGGUGCCUGGCUGAGUGCAAAGCAGGCCUGAGUCAUCCAGACCUCACAAUCAUGGCUGGAGUGGCCACAGACAGACCCACAAUGGGUGCAGGGGAUCCCAAGUUUAUGACACCAAGAGUCAUUCCAGGCUUACCUAUGUUUUCAGGGCAAAUACAGGACUGAGUCUAGGCUGGAGGGUUAGAGAAGCUGAAACAGACACCUUUAGAACUGAAGUGUGAUGUUUUCAUUAAUCUGAAUACAAACCAUAGCCAAUAUAUAUGGUGUGCUUUCUCUGUGUCACUCUAUUCUAAGUAUUUCACAUGUGUGAACUCCCUGGCAGGCUAGUAGUAUUAGAGCUUUUGCUUAUUAAUCUCUAUGGUAACAGGUCAUUAAAAAAAAUAAUUAAUUACUGUGUUACCAAGAUCAAAAUAUAGUAAUAUUCGCCUCUUCAGCUGUGACCACCACCAUAGAAAAGUCCAGGCAAAAAUACAGAGAUCAGAAGGGGCAAGUGGAACCCUAUGCAGGCUAAAGACUCUUAGGAAAUAUGGGCCCUUGAAAUGUCCCCAUCUAUGUGGGUUUCAUUGUCAGUCCUUCUUUCUUUGGCAGGGUCAAGGGCAUUUGACCUGUUGAUACACCUAUUGCUUUUCCAGCAAGCCCUACAUCUUUCUAGUAAGGAGUCAAUGCACCAAAGCUGGAGGCCACUGGAGGUGACUCCAGUCACCAUUUUUCAACUUCUCCUAGAAAUGUCUCUUUGGUUUCUUCAGGCUUUGACUUGGGUGACUAUGGAGAACGUGACAUGGGAAGUUAAAAAGCAACAAGAAGUCUUUUAAAAAGUUUGAAUUACAUUGAACAUAUGUCUGAAAUGUAAGAAGGGGUAAGCCCUCUUUCUUACCAUCCUUCCUGACCAUGACCCCUGGGAGUCAGAUAUCCCAGGCACAGCUUAGCUUUCUAACCCUGCUGUGUUGCCCUCCAUGAUCUCUCCGAAUUUCUCUCCCUUUCCUCCCUUUACACUAAAAAUGCUCUAGUUCUGGCCUUCCUCAUCUCGUUAAUAAUUAAGCUGGCUGACUUAACUCCCUGCCUUCUGGUUGCCCUCUUCAAUCUGUCCUUGUCUCUGUCAGCAGCAGCAUCGUCCUGCUCAAAACCACAAAGACCUCCUACUGUGGAAAGACAGGUAUUCAGAAUCCACAUCGCACGUCUAGAUCCCCUGUGAUGUGCCCUGAAACAACCUCCACUGUCUUAGCUUUUACUAACAUCUUCCAUAAUUUCCAGGCCCAGCAGGCCUGAUCUUGUGCUCAACUUCCCCAACUUAGUCUCCUCCUUCUGUCAGAAAUAGCCUUUCUCUAUCUCCACCUGAGAUUAAUGUAUCCUGGAGAGUCUAUCUCUCUUUUCAGUGUCCAUAUCAAGGGCCGGCUCCUCCAGAAAGCCUUUCUAUACCUUCAACCUCCAACCUCAUAUCUCAUCAUUAGAAAAGAUCACGUUCUCAUUAGAAGCCCAAACCUCAGUAUCACAUAAUAUGCCCAUCUAACAAACCUGCACAUGUACACCCUGAACCUAAAAAAAAAUAAAAUAAAACAAAAAAAGAAAAGAAAAUAUACACUGAUGAGAAAAAAAAGGAUCAAAUCCAACUUUAAGUUCCUGAGUCUAACUUUCUAACUUUAUUUUAGUGCCUCCCAGAAUUAUCUGUGUUUGUGUCCACAUUAACCAUUGGCUGGGAUCAUCAUAAGUGAAUCACCAUGUUCCCCAAACCAAAAACUGCCCUGGCACACAGGAAGCUUACGUUAGUGUCUUAGUAUGGCAUAUAUGUAUACACACACUGUACACAUGAACACAUAUCUAUGUGAUGUUUCCAAACAUAGAUAUGUGUUCAUAUCCAAAGACAGUUGUCUUUGAAAGUAAACACAAUAAACUCGGAUAAACUUCUGGAACAUGGGGAUAGGAGGGUGGGAUGAAAGAAAGCAUUUAGUAAAUUUACAUUUCUUUAUGUAUUUCUUGACUCUUAAAAUCAAUAUAUCAUAAUUUAAUAACAUAAUUUAUUAAAAUGAAAAAUAAAAUAAUUCAUGUUAAUUGUAGAAUACAUACAUCUGUAAAGAAGAAUGACAAACAGGAAUAAUUUCCAGAGACUCACAAUCUACAUACAUUCUAUUUAUGUGAUUAGAUCCAUGUUAUUCUUAUGUUUCCUUUUUGCCAGUUAGCAUUGUAUGGAGAGUACUUCUCCAUUUUCUAUCAUUGGGUGUAUGAAUUGUUAACCACUUUGGAAUACUGCAAAUAAUCAUAUAAUGAAUAUACAUAUACUUAAAUCUUUGUGUGCAUUUGUUAUUAUUUACUAGGUUAGAUUCUUAGAAAUAGAACCACUGACUUGAAGGGAAUAUUAUCAUUUAAGGUUUUAAUCCAUGUUGCCAAAAUGUUUGUAAGAAAGUAUCCAUCUCACAAUACCCACAUCAGAACCAGGUAUUACAAUUUUUAAAACCUCCCAAACAUUUUCUUUUUCUUUCUUUUUUUUCUUUUCUUUUUUUUUUGAGACAGAGUCUCACUCCGUUUCUCAGGCUGGAGUACAGUGGCAGUGACUGCAACCUACGCACCCCCCAGGUUCAAGCGAUUCUCCUGCCUCAACCUCACGAGUAGCUGGGAUUACAGGCACCUGCCACCAUGACCCGCUAAUUUUUUUGUGUUUUAACUAGAGACAGAGUUUCACCAUGUUGGCCGGGGUGGUCUUCAACUCCUGAUGUCAAGUGAUGCGCCCACUUCUGCCUCCCAAAAUGCUGGGAUUACAGGCUUGAGCCACAGCGCCCAGCCCUAACAUUUUUUUUUUUAUGGAUUCUCCCUUUGCUUUUAUAAUGAGGGCACCUCUACCCUGAGAUGAAUCAGAUGCAUUAUUGUUUUUUGUCAAUUCUUUUACUACUUCUUCUUUAAUAUUUGAAUUUUUGAUCAAUUUAAAUCAAAUUAGGUAAAUUUUAUGAGGUAAGGGAGGAGACAUUUGCCUUGUUAUAAUUCCUGUAUAUUUAACCAAUCAUCCAUGUCAUAUUUAUUUAAUAAUCCUUCCCCACACUUUAAAUAAUUUGUAGUCUUAUUUUUGUUCUGUGUUUGAAUUACCAUAGCUGUAUAGUAUGAUUUGACAUCUGAUAGGGUAGAUUUCACCUUUUUAAUUAUUUAUUUUAUAUUCUGGGGUCAUUCUCAGCAUUUAUUUUGUCUAAAUGAAACGUAAACAGGCUGUCAAGUUUUCAACACAGAUCCAAGUGGAAUUAAACAUUUUUUUUCUUACGAAUAUUUGGGGACUUCAUUCCUUUCUUCCUUUUUUUUCUCUUCCUCCUCCCCUCCCUCCUUCUCCUCCUUCUUAUUCUAUUCUUCUCUCUCUUUUUCAUUCUCUUCUCCUUCCUUCCCUUCCUUUCCUUCUCAACUUCAUCUUCUUCGUUUCUCCAUCAUUAUCAUUUUCUGUUUAUUGAUUACACUUAAAUAAUAACUAUUUCAUAGAGAAAAUUAAAACUAGACAUAGUGAUCAAAUGUUGACAUGUUGUUUUUUGUGUCAAAUAUUCAAAUAUUUUUAAAUUGACAUCUAAAAGUUUAUAGAAACAGGCACAUUCCUCCACCAGAAUUUCCCUCUACUCUCAAAAGUAACCACCAUUAUAAAAUGCUGCACUGUCAGCAAACCACCAUGGCACAUGUAUACCUAUGUAACAAACCUGCACGUUCUGCACAUGUAUCCCAAAACUUAAAGUAUAACAAUAAUAAUAAUGCUGCACUGUCUUUUUUGUGUUGUUUUGUGCAUUUUUAACCUCUAAUUUCACAGCAUACUUAUUUGUCCAUAACUAUAUAUAUAGUGUUUUGCAUAUUUAAAACUUUUGUACAAAAUGUGUCAGAGUGAACAUGUUCUUUUGCAAUUUCAUUUAUUUUGGUCAACAAUAUGUGACUUUUCUUCAUGAACAUCCUGCAUAUUCCUUGUUUCAUUUAUCCUUGGUUAUUUAGAACAUUUCUUCUAUUUUAAUGCUAACUUCAAUUGACUCAAAUUUUGUUGACGGCUUGUGAGAUCAACCAAAAGCUAAAUGAAAUCAGUCUUCUGUGUGUGUGUUUGUUUUUAAUGCUUUCUAGAUUAGUCUGACAUGCACACCCAAUCGGAAAACACUAGCGCAGAAGAGGGAGAGCCUAAUAUCAGCAUUACCUAGGUAUUAGAAGAAUUUGGAUAUUAUUAUAUACACCUGGCAUGAUAGCUAGGACAGAACCUGUUCUGCCGGGAGAAGGCGCCUGCUCAGGGUUUCUCUUUCCCUACAUGGGAACCCCUGAAGGAGAGUCCUGCCUGUGAUCUUCAUUUAGAAGGCUAGUGCUGACCACUGCUUGGUUCUCAUCAAUCCAUCCUUGAGGUUAGUACUACACCUGUUUGAGCAGAAUUCUGGUCACAGUCUUACUCUGAAUUUGGUGUCCUUAUAACGCAACCCUUAAGUUCCCUAACUAUACCUCACCUAGAUUUUCCCACAUUGUGUCUCCACAGAUAUCCCCAAUCUCAUCUUAAAUCUGAAUUGAACCUGUCAUAUUAUAGCCUGGCUCUUCUCUCACCAACUAUUUGGGGGUAAUGUAGUGAUUCAUUUUGUUUCCACAUAUUAUUUUAAGUUCUUACUACCUCCUUCCCCCAUCUAGGUUCAGAUUUUCCCCUGCUUUUAACAUCUUGGUCCAGGCAGCUACAUUAUCAAACUGUACUAGGAUGGCAAAAUCAUUUUUUCACAUAUGCUAACCAUCAAUGAUUAGUGGUGAUUUUAUGGAAAAAUAUGUUGAGAAUAAUUUAGAGGAAAGAUUUGGGUUCAGAUAGAACUAUCUGCCAUUGGUAAGUAAAGUAAAGUGAUGUUGUCACUUAUUUUAUCCCAUCCAUGAUGAGAAUUGAUGUUUAUAAAACCUUUGACUAUACAAUGAGAGUAUUAAGCAAAAAACAAGUAACAAAAAUUAAAAAUAAAAUGCUUUUGUAAUCAAGGUCAGAGAGGAUAUUCUUUUACUUUUUCCAUUACAUUAUUCAUGUGUGCAUAAUGGUGUACAGUAUUACUUUCCAUGUGUAAAAAAGAAAUCAUACAAUAGAGUGCAUAGAGAAGUGGAGAAAUGGAGAAUAGUUCUCAAAGUUAUUUGAUCUGGCAGAUUAUCUUCCAAAGAUGAGUGCAACUGUAUUUUCCAUAUCACAGCCUCUUCUGGAAUAUUAAACUCUGCCCCCAUCAAGAGGUGGUGUCUGUGUCUGUUCUUGAAUUUGGGUGGGUCUUCCCGACUGCUUCAACCAAGAGAGUCCAGUAGAAAUGAUACUAUAUGAUUUUGGAGGUUAGAUCAAAAGACUGCCAUGCAUUUUAAUUUUGUUUUUUGAGGGUUGCUGUCUUUUAGAACCCAGCCAACAUACUGUGAUGAAGCCUAAACAACUGUGGAGAGGCUCACGUGGAGAGGAGUCAAUGCCCACUGAUCUAUAAGCCUUGGCUGAGCUCUGAGCCAACAGUCAUGAUCAACUUCCAGCCGUAUAAGUGAACCAUCUUGAAAGAGGCUUCACCAGCACCAAGUUGAGCAACUUGAUUAUGUUACCAAAGAUCACCUCCUUCCUAUCAUCUUCCGUCUGAGACUUGCUUAGAGUGAGUUUGGAAGCUGUGUUUUGCUCAUCCUGAAGACUGAACAUAAGAAAAUAUUGCUCAAGUUCUGGAUGAUGCAGCUGCUGAAAUAAUCUGUGGUGCACUUUCCUUCAGGAAUCCUUACCUAUUUUUUCAGGUGUUCCACAAGCCUUCUUAUCUUGGAAUUCAGUAAUACUUAUUGUGUGGUUGCUUACUGUUCCCUAGGCACCCUGAAGCAUUGAAGCUUUGAAGCUUUGUCUCAUGCUUUCAAGUAAUGUUCUCGUGUUUACCUGCUGAUAUUCCUUCAAAGUUAGAGGCUGCCUCUCUCCAAGUGUGGAAAAAAACAAUCAGAUGUCACUAAGAUAUUGUGUAACAAUUCAUAUUAAACACAUGAUCUUGUCAGUCAAGAAGAAGAGAUUAAAACAAACACCUUGAGAGUUCAUGAGUAGAAGUAUACAGCCCUGCAUUCAUGAUAAUAUGGUGCAUUUUACCUACCUUGCAGCAGAAAGAGAUAUCUAAUUCCAUACACAGCAAUGUAACUGUUUAAAGUGCUCCUAAAAUUCAGACAAAACAAAUUAUAAAUAGUAUCAAGAUCAAAGAAGCUGAAAGUCCCUAUGUUUGAUGUAGGCACAGCAAAGUUUGAUGUAUAUGCUCAUUUCUCAGCACUGCAAGUAUGGAGAAACCAUCAGAAAGCAUGCUGAAAAUAGAGAGGGCUUCUAAAACAGAAAGCUCCUGCCUGUUUUACUGAAGGCUACCAGAUUCUUUCUCAGAAAUUUUGUACAGUUCAGAGGCACAAAUGCUCUUUUAGGUCCUUUGAAGCACUGGGUUUAAUAUCGGAAUUUAAUCUUGGCUCUAGUCUCCAAUUCCUUACAUAGUCAUUCAAGCAAUCUUGGGGACCAAGUCUUCCAAUAGCAUAGUGAUAUUCAUGCCUGAAGUGGGAGGAAUAGAUAUCCUCCUCAUUAACAAGGGAUGAGAGAUCAUGUUUCAUAGGCAAAAUACUCAUGCAUGCAAAAAUGUAACUUUUCCAGUAAUUUUUUUAGUACUGAAAUUAGCUUAGCUCAUUAGCUCUCUCUUCUACCUAGUAGCAGGGAAUGCAGUUUUGCUAACCCAGGUGACUCAUUAUUUCUGUUUUCAAGUUUAGUUUAUUUUAGGUAAAUUUUUGAAUUCAUAAUGUUUUUCUGACCUUUCUUCUCUUCCAGAAGAGGUUAUUCUAACUUCUUAAUGGAUUUACUUUUGUAGUUG